CGGAAGGGAGAGGCGGCAGCCCUCCGGUCGUCGUCGCGUGUUGCCAGGCCGGGUGACUCGCGGUCGGGAGAGGGCGUGGGCGCGGGAGGCGGCCGGACUUCGCUGCUGUGCUCCAAGGCAGGCUCCUCCGGAACCAUAUCUUUGAAGACUCCGCGCCCGCCAGCUUGGGUGUCCGGCGGGACCCGAGCAAAGUUUGUUCCAGCACCUUGCCUCACCCUGAAUGCGCUGCUUGGAAAACUGUUGGAGGGUGUGUUUGUAUUUUCCUUUUUUCCCUUGCCCGUGAACUACCUUUCCAUUUUCAUUUCUCUUUUACAUUUUUUUUUAACCCUCUUCCUUGUCAACUUUGUUUUCAGACUUAUUAAUUCAAUGAAUAUUUAUAUUACCCCUUACCAGGUGUCCGUGGUAGCGUGGUUUGGUGGAAAUGAACUAUGCUUUGGAGUCAAGACAGAUCUGCCAUCGGAUUCUGGUUCUGAUAGUCUCUCUGUAACCUUGGACCAGUUAUUUAACCUUGCUGAGGCUCCGUUUCUUUGUCAUAUGUUUGCUUUUGCUUAUUUUAAUUUACUCUUUUAUAUUUGAAAUUGUUCUGGGCUUUUUGGUUUGUGUGUGUAUCAUAUAGGAGUCUGUCCCUAGGCGAAAGCUGUUCUUAAUCCUGUACACCCCGUUACUAGCUCUGUGACCUGGGGCAACGCAUGACAGCUUUCCUAGGCCUUGAUUUCCCCGUCUUUAAAAUCAGCCAGAUUACAGAUGGUAAUAUGGCUAAUAAUGAUCAUAACAGUUGGAAUUUGGAGCAUUUAGUGCUAAAAUGUGUAUAAAAUAUCUAGCACAGGACACAGUAUAGAUAGUGUUACCAUAUUUAAUUAAAUCUACUUUCAAACAUAUUAAAAAGCUUGUUUUAAAGUCAAGAAAUAAGUAUUGAGUCACUCAGAUCUACCCAAGCACUCUAUUUGGUAGUAACUAGUGAUAAACUAGCUGUCAGCCAAAUAAGGUUUAAACAAACGGGAUUUAAACGGGGACUUUGUCACCAGAAAUAUUUCCAUUGCACUCGUGGAGCUUUUGCCUAAAUUAAGUCCAGCACAGCUGUUGAAGAAAGAGGUCCAUCCAGGCUAUCAUUGGGGUUUGGUAAGUGGAGAGAACCCGGCUUCUGACAAGUCGAGCUAACACUUACUGAACGUGUGCCUUUCUAAGCACUUUACAGUAUUGGCGUGUGUGAUCCUGGGUACCAACACUAAGGAGCUUCUGGGUCUUGGGCUAUAAAAGUGAGGACAACCACACCCUACAGUUUUGUGAUGAGUAAUUGAUGUCUGUAAAUAUAUUAAGGUACAGACAUUAAGGCAUUGUCAAUAGUAUACAUGGCUGGAGCAGGUAAGAGAAGCAACAAAAAUAACUGGACUCCAGGAAGGAAUAAGAGUAAGUAUAGAGGCUUAGUUUGUUUCAGUUUGGGGAGUUGUUAGCUUAUUCUGUUAAGGAGAGCAAACAGAAAAAGUGUCUAAACCUCAAGAGAAUCUCAGAUCUUUGACAGUUAUUUCACUGUUUGCAAUCAGUCAAAAGUAAGAAAAUGAAAAUGACUAAACAUUUUUCUUCUUUGUAUAAGCAUGAGAAGGAAUAUUUUAGUUAUCUGGUGUUUUCAUGGCUGAAGGAAACAUUUCCUCAAUUCGGUUAGAGGUCAGGCCCUUUGCUUUAAAACAACCUUCUGCUUGCUGUUCUGUGGUAUGGGAGAUGUCAUUUCCAGAAAGAUUAAGUGCUUAUACCAAAUUGUCCAUCAGAUGAUUUCUGGUCUUCAGAAAUGGUUCCUCCAGUCCUUUCCUUUCCCUGUACCUCUGAGUUCUUCCAUUGUCCUUACCUCGCUAACCCAUCUUUCAUAUUGUGGCCCAACUAUGUUCUGUAAAACAAGCUAAUGAGUGUAAACACUGGCCAAAUCUGAAUAAGGUCUGUAGCCUAGUUAAUUGCAUUGUGCUAAUGUCAGCUUCCUGGCUUUGAUAGUUUUCUAUAGUUUUGUAAAAUGCUACUACCAUCGGAGGGAGCUGGGUGAGUGUACAUGGGCCCCCUCUGCAACUUCCUGUGAGUGCAUUAUUAUUUCAGAGUAAAAAAUUAUGGAGACAAAAAUCAUCAAUAAUUGCGUGCCUCAGAGGGAGGGUGGGACAGUGGGCGUUGACUACAGAGAGAACUUUUUAAGAUAAUGAAGAUGUUCUAAGUCUUGAUUGUCUUAGUGUUUACUGUACACCCAAAAAGGGCAAAGUUUAUUUAUAUAAAUGAUACCUGAAAACUGACUUGAAAAACAGAAAAGCAAGCUCUUGUCAUCCCAGCCUCCUAUGGUCCAAAGGGUGAAACCUAACUUCUCAUAUAAGGUCCAACAAAUUUUUCCUUUGUCUCCCAGUGUACCCUGUGCUGUCUUGUACUAUAUUGAUUCCUGCUGCUGGGCCUUUGCACAUGUUCUUCCCUUUGCUUAAAGAGAACACAGGAAAUUCAGGCCCAAAUUCAAAUUCCCUGUACUCUGUUAAGCCUUCCUUGCCUCUAUUAGGCAUACUAGCGCCUUCCUCUGUUCUCA
rnacentral:lncRNA from 1 species